ensembl:lncRNA
CGCGACGCGCAGGCGUUUCCACCGCUGGGAUCCUGGCCUAAACAUCUGCCUUGUUGAAGAUGUGGCGCAGUGUCAUGUCUGUCUGGACAACCUGCUGAUCCAUGACAUCCUCUACAAACUGCCUGAGCCAGGCCUGAAGGGCGGCAGUGUAAGGCACCAGGAUCUUAGUAUUAGCAUUCAUGUUGGAUAUCAGCUGGACCUGGGCCUGUUCUUCACCUGAGAUACAGGAUUACUCACUUGGCACGACCAAUCAGAGAGAGCUGAGUCACAUUCUUGUUGAAGAACUCCAGGACGAUGGAUUUGCCUUUGGCACUGCUAUCAGUCAAGCCAAGCUUAACACCGGCCUCAACAUCCAAGUCUGGUAUCUGGAUCUGGGUGGUCAAGGUAUUUUUGUUCCUGUUGUAUUUCAUGGUGGCAGAAGCCUCGGUAGGCGGAGCACCUAAGGUCAGAGCAUUAGAAAAAGUAGAACAUGAUGACUAAUGCAUGAAACCCUAUAAAGUGAAAAAGAAGUCCACGGCUCAUAGAAAAACAUAGGUUGAUAUUUAUGUUGAACAUACCUUCUGCUCUCAGGGUCAUCUUCAAAGAAUCAACCUUCUGGCGGCCAUCCUUUCCUUCACUGAGAAGCUUGUAGGCGAUGGUGGCUGUGUACUCAGACACCUCUUCAUUAGGCUUGAUGUCUACUGCAAACCUAACAUGAAACACAACUCUCUGAUGAGUUUUCAUAUAAAUAUUUCUUAGAAAACUAGAAUGUGAAUGGCACAAAUACAAAUACAACUAAAAAUAACACUUUCAAUUUUCAAAAAUGUUCCCUUCUUUGUACUUUCUAUGUUUUACCAUAUUAAAUUUAGUAUUUUUUAGUGACAUAUAUUGGCAGUUGGUGCUGUUUUGACUAUUCAUUCCUUCAUUCAACCCAUGUAUUUUUCACAGCUUCUUCAAAGGGCAACUUACAUAGUAUCACCAUUGAGGGGGUUGUAAGCAACAGCAGUGCAGGACGAGACUCCAGGAAAGAGACGCCUGCAGUCUGAUUGGUCCUCUCUCUGUGGGAUCGUUGUUUCAUGAUCAGCACCCACAAUCAGCACUUUAUUGCUGUUUCAACAAAGAACAACAAAAUCAGUUUCUAUUUCUUGGUGUCACUGUAUCCAGAAACACCAUGCCAGUGGCUCUGGGAGUUGCAGAAAUAAUUUUUGAGCACAUUUGCAUAUAAUCAACUGCAGCUCUACAAAAUCAGAAACAUAACAAAACAAAUCAGAACAUUUAUUAUAUUGAAUAUAAGAAUGUGUUUUAUUUAAUUUGUUACCUGAUAGUGAAAAGCCUUGUGGUGCCUUUUGGGGCAGGAAUGGAAAGCCUGACCUGGUUCUGCUCCAUGGUGACCUUGGCAUUAAAGGCACUUUCAUGGUACAUGUUGGUGUGCAUCUCAACACUGGACACAACAAAGUCAGGGACAUGAACUCCCAUCUGAGUCACAAACUCAACUCCUACUGAGGGCAUGAACAGCAGCUCGUUCUGUAAGCAAAAACACAUCACAUGAAAUAAACUGCAGACAUGAAAAAAAAACAUAUCAUUGCAAUUAUUACAAUAGACUUCACAUUAUAUUUGAAAGGAAGGUUAUUGAUCACACAAUUUCUAAGGAGCACAAAGGAUAUAUUGAAAAAAUAGAAAAUGUACCAUGGUUGGAGAGAUGUGAAGGCCUCCUUUUGCACCAGGAGCAACAGUACCAGACAGAGCAAAUUUCAGGGGCAAGCCAGAUGCUGUUGGCAUGAUGAAUUUGUUGUCCAUGAAAAUGUAAUGGGCAAAAAUCUCAUUGUCAGUGCUGGAUAUCAGUUUAGCCAUAACCUGAUAAAAGAGGGUCAAAAGUCAAAACAAAUGCUGUUUUGCUGUGGGAAAGAUGUAAUUUGCUGGAUAACAGGAAUAUAAAACAGUACCUCUGUAGGAAUGAGCUUCUUUAAAAUCUCUGCAUACAUCAUUGCGUUUUCAGCAAUAGAUUUCAAUUCAUUGCCCUUGAUGUAGCCAAGUUCAGCUCCCAUGAGCCUCAGGUAGGCCAUUGCCUCUGGGGACUCCUGACUCUGCAGAUCUUUCAUGAGCUUGUUGACAUUUUGAACAAUUUCUUUCAUAAGAUUUUUGGGGACCUUAAGAAAGAGUUCCAUAGUAUUAGCUGUGGUGUAAAAUAACUCAAACUACGGGUGUUUAACAAAAAUAAUUACACACAAGAUAUACCUCCUGUCCUUCUGAUUUCAGCGGGGCAACCCAGUUCUCCAGAACUUCUUUGAUCUUUGGUGGCAUCUUGUCUCCAGCCCAGUACAGAGCCUUGGACACUGUGUCAGGAAAAAACCCAUUCUUUCCAAACAAAGCAUCAAUGCUCGGCUCAAAGCCUUUUCCUUCCAUGCCAACCUACCGGCAAAACAACACAAUUAGACUAAAAACAGUGGGUCACAUGCAACUUGAACUUAUUUAUUUAUACUGUUAUUAAAGUUUUUUCUGCUAAUGUGAAACUGGAGUAAAUUAGUAAAUCUUUAUGAGAUAUGGUAUUACAUACCUCCCAGAUGUCCAUGUUGUAACCAAAAACUUUUAACGUAGUUUCCAGCAAGACCUCUCUGGGCAACUGACUAGUGGGAUCAAAGACAACGUUGCCCUGGAUGGCGGCCUGCAUGGUGUCAUGUGCCACAUCCAGCUUGUAAUUGCGAGACAUUGUGGUGUAGUCACUGUGUGUGGUGACAUCAGUGUCUUGCAGGGCAUCCAUUAUCUUCCUACCAAUCCUGAUGUAAAAUAAAUGUAAAUUAUACCAGCAGUUUUUAAAUCAACACCAUAUCUCUAUGAAGUAAAGCAGAAGUCGUGCUGUCAGUGAAAAUGUGCUCCAGUCUUACGUCUGGGUCUCUGAAUCAGCG